GCGCACAGCUGACAACGUCAAUUCAAAUACCAACAACUUGCUGCAUGCGAUCAGCUGUUCAUUUUGUUAUUGAAUUAUUUUUGCUGUUGAAUUUUUGUGAAAAUUUUAGGCAUAAAGUAAAUAAUUGAUUAAUUAAAUGUAUUUUAGUAAAAGUUAAGCCUAAAUAGUGGAAAAGUGCGAUAUGAAAAUGUAAGAAUAAAAAAUGAGUGCAAACUGUGAAUAAAUUGUGAGUUAAAAUAAAAGUUAUUGGCAUUUGUAGAACAGCAGUGCACGGGUGAUAUUCAGUAUAAGGUAUUUACAUACAUAUGUAUGUAUAUCAUUAUUUUAAAAAAAAAUUAGUUGCUUUAUUAAUAUUUCAAAUAUUAUAAGCAAAAGAGUUGAACAAGUGGCUCAGCUCGGUGAAAUUGUGCGCGAGUGUCAGUUGUUAUAGUUAUUUAACGCGUAAAAAACAUACCAAUAUCAUAAAAUCAUAAAUCUGUGUUGUAUUGUGAAUUUGCAUAAGAUCCACAAAUAAUUAAAACCCAUCACAAAAUAUUAAAAAAAAUUUUUUUAAGAAGACUCGAAAAGACAAUAAAACUCAAUUGGUUUAAAUUCUAAAGAGAAGAUUAUAACAACAGUAAAAAAUAAAAGAAAUAGUGUGAGUGAGCAAAAUGAAAAAAUUUAAGCUAUAAGUUUCAUAUUUGAUAUUUGAAUUUAUGUUUUCAAGUUUGCUUUUUAGCCGCAGAAUAAAUAUCACGAGACAGCUACAAUCAUUUAUCCUACUUCAUCAAAAUCUUUCCGAACGAUCAAUUUACUAAAGUUCAACGAUUUUUAUUCUUAUUACAAUGGUAAAUACACAAACAAAACCAGUUUUGUCCGGCAUUUUUUGUAUAACCAAUAUUUUUUUAAAGUAAAUAUGUACAUACACACGUGCGUACUUUUGUUAUACAGACACGAAAUUAAAGCAAGCUCAGUGUGAUCAAACGAAGUCAGCUUCAAUUUUAAUAUAAUAGUAUGAAAUUCUGUGUAAGCAACAAUAGUCCGUGGACGUCUGCUUCGCAACGCAGUCGGCAUCGGUCGUCGAUGCCUCGCACCACCCGCUGAGCGCUGCGCAAUCAGUUGGGUCGCAGCACAAUGUGUGAGCGUAUCUCCCCUGCUCCAUUUUUCUACGCAUACAUGGCGGGUAUAGUGUAGGUCCAAUGCACAGUCAGACACUGUGCGUAUGGAAGUUAAAAGCAAACAGGUUGUUGGAUAAAAGGAGUUCAUCAGAAACGAUAUUCGCUAAUUGCCCACUUUGACAAAUCAGUGCACCGUAAUCGGAAGCAACGAUUCAUUCAAUGAUAAAUGAUCACAAAAGCUGUUUUAAAAUCACACUAUGCUAUAGACACAUUCAAACAUAUACCGGUGCCAACAAAAGAAAGGGAAAUUCUCAAUCAAAUCAAAUGAAAAUCAAUCGAUCGGAAUCGUUGCAAAUGUGAAUUUUAGUUGAAAGCGCGGCGCGCUUUUCAAUAACGGCUCGGCAGUGGCUGGAUGCGCAGAUGCAAAUGACCAUGAGGUGCAGUGCGAGGUAGAGGAGGAAGUGGCAGUGAACACUGUGACACAAGUCAACGUAUAUAUUUAUCUUGGGGGCAGGAUGUUGUUCAUACGUCUACAACGCGGACUAGCAAAGGCUAAGCAGCAGUGCGGAAAAUUAUGAGCUACUAGUACUGUAAGGACUUGUGGUCUAUUAACUGGAUGACAAAUUAUACAAGUUUGAAGUUUUUAUAAAUUAUAAAAACAUUUGAACACUAAUCUUUUGGUGACUGCUAUUCGCUAAUACAUACAUACUUAUGUAAUAAAUAUGAAUACAAGAUAAAUUAUUUUAAAAAUAAGAAUUAUAUAAACACUUGAAGUUCACUUUCAUUGUGCACAAAUGCACAUUAUUGACAGAGAAUUUUAAUAAACAAAUAUUUAUUAUAAUAGUUUAUAAUUUUCAGUAAUAAAUAAAUAUUUAGCAACAUUCUCUGCAGAAAUGUUUCAGUGCCGCUGUAAAUUGUUUAAAUUAUGGUUUUGUCCUCCACUAUAUACAGUGUUGCUUAAAAUACACACUUUAUCCAAUACAGAUAUUUUCAAAGUGUAUUCCCCUAACAACGUUUUAGUGCCACUGUAGCUUGCUCAUAUGUUACAUUAUGGUUUGUGUAUUAACUAUGUACAGGAAACUGACAACUAUAUGCCUGAGUAGCACACCGCCAGUGUAGUUUGCGCCUGCUGUCAGGCAACAAAUUGUGUAUUUAGCAAAAGUGCAGCCACCUGCUGCAGCACUUUGGUCGCCUGGUAGAAUGGAACAACGACGACUUUUGAUAAUUUCGCGGCAAGCCCUGCAAUUGCAAGUGUGUGUGUGUGUGUGUAUAUGCUGUGGGACAUGUACUAUGUUAAAAUGAAAUUUACUGUAGUUUCUAUAAGGAUUGAGUAUUAAUUUAAAAAAAAAUAAGAAAAUUAAUAGAAGAAAUAAGCAAAAAAUUGAAAAUAAAGAUAUAAAAAUAAUUAAAAUAAAGGA